AUUGAACGCUGGCGGCAUGCUUUACACAUGCAAGUCGAACGGUAACAGCACUUCGGUGGCUGACGAGUGGCGCACGGGUGAGUAAUACAUCGGAACGUGCCUAGUAGUGGGGGAUAACUACUCGAAAGAGUAGCUAAUACCGCAUGAGAUCUAAGGAUGAAAGCAGGGGACCUUCGGGCCUUGCGCUACUAGAGCGGCUGAUGGCAGAUUAGGUAGUUGGUGGGAUAAAAGCUUACCAAGCCGACGAUCUGUAGCUGGUCUGAGAGGACGACCAGCCACACUGGGACUGAGACACGGCCCAGACUCCUACGGGAGGCAGCAGUGGGGAAUUUUGGACAAUGGGCGCAAGCCUGAUCCAGCAAUGCCGCGUGCAAGAUGAAGGCCUUCGGGUUGUAAACUGCUUUUGUACGGAACGAAAAGCCCUCUUCUAAUACAGGAGGGUCAUGACGGUACCGUAAGAAUAAGCACCGGCUAACUACGUG
rnacentral:rRNA from 1 species